UUGUUGUGUAAAACAACAUGAGCUACGUAAUGAAUAUGAAGCACUGCUGACCUGUUUUCCAUUUGAUUACAUAAUUCAAAUAAUAUUACAAAAUACUAGGCUUACAGUAAGCCUCCUUUGUGUGCUACUUUUUUAUUCCGCUAACACAGUAGACUACAGGAUGGCAAUUCAUUUUUCACCACCAGGUUAAAAGAUGGAAACUCCAGGAGAGGACGGGAAAGGACUGCUGUGAGUAUAAACGAGAUAAGAAUUGUAUGUGAAUUUCUGCUGUCAAACUCUGCGCUCCUGUCCAGAGGCCUGAUGUCAACAUAUCAUUUACCAAUGUUUCAAAGACAGAUGAGGCCUGAAUAAAUGUUUGGAAAACAUCUGCAGGAAAACAGACAUGGUUGGCUUGUGCACAGAUUCUUUUUGGAAAGAUUUUUGGGAUUUGGUAUUAUGAUUCCCCCUUCCUUAUUUCUCUGAACCCACUCCCGUUAAUUAAAACAUAAGGAAAAUAAAGUUGGAGAGUAUCUGGUA